rnacentral:rRNA from 1 species
GUGGGGAAUAUUGGACAAUGGGCGCAAGCCUGAUCCAGCCAUGCCGCGUGAGUGAUGAAGGUCUUAGGAUUGUAAAGCUCUUUCACCGGUGAAGAUAAUGACGGUAACCGGAGAAGAAGCCCCGGCUAACUUCGUGCCAGCAGCCGCGGUAAUACGAAGGGGGCUAGCGUUGUUCGGAAUUACUGGGCGUAAAGCGCACGUAGGCGGAUAUUUAAGUCAGGGGUGAAAUCCCAGAGCUCAACUCUGGAACUGCCUUUGAUACUGGGUAUCUUGAGUAUGGAAGAGGUGAGUGGAAUUCCGAGUGUAGAGGUGAAAUUCGUAGAUAUUCGGAGGAACACCAGUGGCGAAGGCGGCUCACUGGUCCAUUACUGACGCUGAGGUGCGAAAGCGUGGGGAGCAAACAGGAUUAGAAACCCGUGUAGUCC